UACGGGGGGUGCGAGCGUUAAUCGGAAUAACUGGGCGUAAAGGGCACGCAGGCGGUCUUUUAAGUGAGGUGUGAAAUCCCCGGGCUUAACCUGGGAAUUGCAUUUCAUACUGGGAAACUAGAGUACUGUAGGGGGGGGUAGAAUUCCACGUGUAGCGGUGAAAUGCGUAGAGAUGUGGAGGAAUACCGAAGGCGAAGGCAAUCCCCUGGGAAUGUACUGACGCUCAUGUGCGAAAGCGUGGGGAGCAAACAGG
rnacentral:rRNA from 1 species